rnacentral:rRNA from 1 species
GAUGAACGCUAGCGGCAGGCUUAACACAUGCAAGUCAGGGCAGCGGGAACUUAGCUUGCUAAGUUUGCCGGCGACCGGCGCACGGGUGAGUAACACGUAUCCAACCUGGCCCAUACUCGGGUAUAGCCUCUCGAAAGGGAGAUUAAUCCCCGAUGUUGUUGUUUCACCGCAUGGUGUAUCAACCAAAGAAUUUCGGUAUGGGAUGGGGAUGCGUUCCAUUAGCUUGUUGGCGGGGUAACGGCCCACCAAGGCGACGAUGGAUAGGGGUUCUGAGAGGAAGGUCCCCCACACUGGAACUGAGACACGGUCCAGACUCCUACGGGAGGCAGCAGUGAGGAAUAUUGGUCAAUGGUCGGAAGACUGAACCAGCCAUGCCGCGUGAAGGUCACGGCCCUAUGGGUCUUAAACUUCUUUUGUAAGGGAGCAAUAAGGUUCACGUGUGGACUGAUGAGAGUACCUUACGAAUAAGCAUCGGCUAACUCCGUG